UCGGGAAUAUUGCGCAAUGGAGGAAACUCUGACGCAGUGACGCCGCGUGCAGGAAGAAGGUUUUCGGAUUGUAAACUGCUUUAGACAGGGAAGAAACAAGACAGUACCUGUAGAAUAAGCUCCGGCUAACUACGUGCCAGCAGCCGCGGUAGUACGUAGGGAGCAAGCGUUAUCCGGAUUUAUUGGGUGUAAAGGGUGCGUAGACGGGAAUGCAAGUUGGUUGUGAAAUCCCUCGGCUCAACCGAGGAAUUGCAACCAAAACUAUAUUUCUUGAGUGCUGGAGAGGAAAGUGGAAUUCCUAGUGUAGCGGUGAAAUGCGUAGAUAUUAGGAGGAACACCAGUGGCGAAGGCGACUUUCUGGACAGUAACUGACGUUGAAGCACGAAAGUGUGGGGAGCAAACAGGAUUAGAUACC
rnacentral:rRNA from 1 species